ensembl:lncRNA
CUGAGGUGUUGGAGCUGCUGAAAUACCCUAGGAACAGCUAAAGGGAUCCGGGAUCCUUGUGCUUGCGAGGCAGGCAGCAGAACCACUGAGCUAAAUCCCUGGCCCUUAAGAUCUCACACAACAUUGCGUGAGGAGGAAAACAUUCAUGCCUGGCUUACAGAUGGUUCUGCACAGUAUGCUGGCAUCAACAGAAAGUGGACAGCUGUAGCCCUAGAGCUCCACUCCAGAGUGGCUCUGGACAGUGGUAGAAGAAAUCUCCCUGGUGGGCCAAAUGCUGAGAGGCACAUUUGUUUGUCCGUUUCGUCUGAACUAGAGAUGGCCAGGAGCAGGGAGCUGUAUGGACUCAUAGGC